rnacentral:rRNA from 1 species
UACGUACGAGGCGAGCGUUAUCCGGAAUUACUGGGCGUAAAGCGCGCGCAGGUGGCUUGCUAAGUCGGACGUGAAAUCUCCCGGCCUAACUGGGAGGGGUCGUCCGAGACUGGCCGGCUUGAGGCUGGCAGAGGUAGGUGGAAUUCCUGGUGUAGUGGUGAAAUGCGUAGAGAUCAGGAGGAACACCGGUGGCGAAGGCGGCCUACUGGGCCAGCACUGACGCUGAGGCGCGAAAGCUCGGGGAGCGAACAGG